rnacentral:lncRNA from 1 species
CAGUUUCUUCCUCAAGAAAUGUCAACUCAAAAUCAGGGAAGUGCUUAUAGCCAAACAACACAGCCAGGUAUCUAUGGUCAACAGGCACAAUCAAGUGCUAAUAUGUACAGCCAACCGACACAGCCAAGUGCUAAUCCAUACGGCCAACCUGCACAGCCUGGUGCUAACGCAUAUGACCAAGUUGGACAACCUAGUUCUAAUGCAUAUACCCAAUCUGUGCAGCCGAGUGUUAACCUUUAUAGCCAACCGCCACAGCUGGGUGCUAAUCCCUACAGCCAACCUGCACAGUUUAACUCUGGGAACCUCUCACGGCAGGGUUCUCUUGUUCCAGUUUCUUCACAGGGUGCUCACCAGAUCACAAAUUCACCCGCUGUACAAAAUAAUAAUGAUUUCCUAAGUGGCUUAAUUUCAGAACCAGGGUCAAAGCCAGCACAGACAGUCACUCCCACAUCAACAGGAGCACUUGCUAUAGUUCCACAACCCUCAAAGGAUAAAUUUGAGCUUAAGUCGGCGGUUUGGGCUGAUACAUUAAGCAGAGGAUUGGUGAAUUUGAACAUAUCUGGACGUAAGUAAACAUUCUUCUUCUCUAAAAAUUGUCAUCAAGUAUGUCCUUUCUGCAUGAUCUAACUUUAUUGUUUUCGGUAUGCAGCUAAAACAAAUCCGUUGGCUGAUAUUGGAGUCGACUUCGAUGCUCUUAAUCGGAAGGAAAAAAGGAUGGAAAAACCUGCCCCAAAUGCAGUGACAUCUACAGUUACAAUGGGUAAAGCAAUGGGAUCUGGGUCUGGGAUUGGUCGUUCUGGUGCUACCACUCUUAGACCUCCCGCAAAUCCUAUGAUGGGUUCUAGUAUGGGUAGCAUGGGCAUGGGAAUGGGUGGUGGACCUGUUGGAGGCAUGGGAAUGGGAGGAGGCUAUGGUGGUAUGAAUCAACAACCAAUGGGCAUGGGGAUGGGGAUGGGGAUGAACAACAUGGGCAUGAAUCCAGGCAUGGGGAUGAAUAUGGGAAUGGGACAAAGACCCCAAAUGCAAGGAAUGCCUGGCGGUUAUAACCCUAUGAUGGGAUCUGGAGGCUAUUCUCAACAGCCAUACGGUGGUGGUUAUCGAUGAGAAUGGAUUCCCAUCCCAAAGAAGAGGAGUAAGGAAAUUACAUACAAGGCUGUGAUAUAAGGGUAAAAAUGAGAUGGGAAAAUAGCUAAAACAUUAGAUGUGGGGAAUGGAAUCCCAAAGUAGAAGCAGUAGAGUCGCACAUUUGUGUUGGCAGAUCGGAACCAUGUUUUUUAUUCAUAUAAUUGUCAUUCUUGGUUAAGCUAUUGCAGUGUUUGGGCCAUAAUCACUCCUCCCAUUGAUUACUGGUUUGAGCUGUUGUGAAAUUGUGUGGAUGAUGAUGACCUUUCUCGGCUUUGCAUUUUUUGUCUUAAUAUUCUUCCCUAUAAUAUAUAUAUUUUUUAUGGUAAAAAAAAUAAACUAAUCCUUCAAUUUUAUUUGAAACUGUAGUAAUUUCACUUUAUCUGUUACAGAAGCAGCAAUAGCUAGAUUGACGAAGCCUGUUGAAUUUUUUCUUUUCAAAAUUAUUUGCUAAGGUAUGAUGAAGCUUCAUUUCUGUAAUUAAGGUCCAAUAUCUUACUUUAUUAAUUUUUUUAAUCAAUUUCUGCAAUAAAAUUUUAAUAUGCAAUCCAUUAGAAAUAUGUUUGUGUUUUUUUGAAAGAGACAAGUCCCUGUUACUUGAAAUAUUCGUGUUCUUUAUCAAAUACAUAGAGCUGAAGCAUCCACAACAAAUACAUAAUCAAAUGCUAAACCUAAUUUGAAUGUGCAGCAAAAGAGAGAGAAUUUUAAAUAAAGUUGUAUUUUCAAGUAAAUUUAUAUAAAGAAACAAAGAAAAGCAUUCAAAAAAAAAAAUAAAAAAUCUAAAAUCAACCAUCAAACAUCACAAGUUUCAGCUUCACAUUAUUACAUGACUUCUAUUUAAAACUUAAAUGGUCAGAAAAAUUAAAGUACAAUGACAACAACUAACAUCCCAAGUAACAAGAUAAAGAUCAGAUCCUGUUUUUCAGUCUUAGAGUUUUCUUGUGUUGGAACUAAGAACAAAGAUGAAUGAAAAAUAACAGAAGCUUGAGCUUGAAGGCUCGAUGGCUUGCUGAGCAAACAAAACAGAAUCGGGCUUGAAAGACAAGAGAAAACAAGAAAAGAGAGUUUUUUAUGAUGAAUCUUUGAUGAAUUUUUCAUUAACUUGAAAGAUGGCAUAUUGCCAAUACAUAUACCAGACAAAAGCUGGUCAAGAUGAAACAAAGUUACCUAAACAUCUACCUAACUCCACUAAGUAGCAUUGUAACUUGUUAAACAAAACUUGCACACUUGGUAAAGCUGAUUUAUCAGCUCAAACAUCAACAAAUUACAUCAAGUACAUUAACAAAUUAGUUCUAAUCUAACUAAGUUACUAUCAUUUGAAAGUAACAAAAUGAACAGCAGCAUGAACUUCAGCUGCAACUGCUUGGCUCGGGCAACUUCUCUGCUUCUUGUCUGCAUGCAGGCCAGCUUCAACAGUUUCAUUUUUUCUUCUAAAGUUGUAUAUUUGAAAAGCGUCUAAAACAAAAUUGAUAGUUAAAAAGGAAUGAAUUAUUGAAAUCCUGUGUACAAUAGAAAGGGUAGCAUAAAGGUAUUAGGGUGAAUUUGUUGCCAUACUAAAAUUUUUAGGGGAUAUUGUUCCUGAUUCAGGAUUUUGAUGAUCCAUUUGGUGAUAAUCCUUUUAAAGCUGUCCCUUCAACUGACUCUGCUCCAGCUGUACAACAAAUUUCCACUUCCAUGCCUACUUUCCAGCCUGCUACAAACCAAAAUGAAGUAGCUCCUCAGCCACCUUCUGCAAGUUCCAAGACAGUCACAAAUUUUGACUUUGGGAACUCAUUCUCUGCAAAUGCUUAUUCUGCACCCAAUGGCGCAAACUCCCAGUUUCUUCCUCAAGAAAUGUCAACUCAAAAUCGGGGAACUGCUUAUAGCCAAACAACACAGCCAGGUAUCUAUGGUCAACAGGCACAAUCAAGUGCUAAUAUGUACAGCCAACCGACACAGCCAAGUGCUAAUCCAUAUGGCCAACCUGCACAGCCUGGUGCUAACGCAUAUGACCAAGUUGGACAACCUAGUUCUAAUGCAUAUAGCCAAUCUGUGCAGCCGAGUGUUAAUCCUUAUAGCCAACCGCCACAGGCAGGUGCUAAUCCCUACAGCCAACCUGCACGGUUUAACUCUGGGAACCUAUCACGGCAGGGUUCUCUUGUUCCAGUUUCUUCACAGGGUGCUCACCAGAUCACAAAUUCACCCGCUGUACAAAAUAAUAAUGAUUUCCUAAGUGGCUUAAUUUCAGAACCAGGGUCAAAGCCAGCACAGACGGUCACUCCCACAUCAAUGGGAGCACUUGCUAUAGUUCCACAACCCUCAAAGGAUAAAUUCGAGCUUAAGUCGGCGG